CCUCUGCUUUAUUUUCAUGACAUUUUGCUAUUCCCUUCAAUAAUAACCAACAAAAUAAAAGAAAACUAGUUCAUGAAAAUCAAGUCUCUGAAUUUGGUUAUAGGCACCAUUGAAGCGGACAAAAGUGUGACUCUACUGUUUGAUAAACAAUUACGGUGCUCUCCUUGAAAAUUUUUGGUCAUCAACAUUUUUCCCUGAUGUCCAUCUUCUCCUUCAAUUUCUUGAACUCGUAGGCAGAAUAUUCUACUUUUCAAGUACCCAAAGUCCAUCUGAAUAUGUUAUGGAUUCUUAAAGGAUGUCUUAAAUGGGGAAGAGCUUGAUAUAUGAUUCCCAAGCUCAAGGAAAGGAAUCCUUAAGUCCAAGGAUUCCUAAUGUCAUGUCUUUACUGUAAAGUUUUUAAAUAUUGCACUUAUGUAUUAUCUUAUAAGGGUUGUGUCCCUAAAGUACUCUCAUGUUGUUGAGUGUAGGAUGGAAAAGGAGACUAGAGUCUUUAACUAUGUAUAAUGAUAUAUAUAUAUAUAUAUAUAUAUGAAGUAAUGUUUUACCAUAUGAUGUGCUAAGAAAGUUUCAAAUUUUCCGCUAAAUUUACCUAUGACAAUGCGAUGAAUGAUAACUAUGGGUUUGUAUAAGACCUCUGAGAGGUCAAGUACACCAUGUUACUUCUAGGGGGUGCUCCUUGGAUGUGACAGAGUCAAUCUUCCUACCCAUACUAUAAAAAGAAACCUAUUAACUAUGCACCUAAAAGAGAGGACUCCUCUCGAUACAGAAAAUAUAGGGAACAUAAAUAAGGGAGACUCUCCCCUUACAAAUGUAAGAAAAGAAAUAGAAACUAGUCCUAUUUCAAGGAAGCUAUUACAACAAUAAGAGCUUAUUUGAAUAAGAUUCACUUAAGUAUAGAGACUUCUGUACAAACUGAAGGAUCAAGACUUUAAGGUGGUUAUUUUAUUCUUCUUAACUUUUUCCUUUCUGAAGUUAGUCAUUACCAUAUUCUCCAAAAUAUAGCUUCCUCUAGAAAUUGAACACAAUUGUUGGUCUGAACAGAAGUGUUGAGUGAUGUCUCAAGUAUUGCGCCAUUUGGAUAAAAAUCAGCAGUUGAGUUUGCCUCUCUGUAAAUGUGCCUGUACUGAAAUCAAACUGUUGGAUUAAGUUUUGGAGCUCUUGAAUGAAUUUAUGCAUUCUCCAUGGGGUUGCUGUUGGGUUUAAGCAAUUUGGUGAAGAGUUCCGAGUCCACUUCAAGCAUGAUUUUCUUGUAUCCGUGUAUAAACCAGUGCAUUCCAUAGAAGGCUGCUUGUAUUUCAGCUUGGUUGUUUGUCCCAAUUCCAAGAGGAAUGGUGUAUGCAUAUACUAUGCUGCCCUGGCAGUCUCGCAUAGUGCCCCCACCGCCUAUAUUUUCGGGGUUGUUUAAAGCACUACCAUCUGAGUUAAGUUUGUAGGUAUCAUGUUUAGGAACUUCCCAUUUAACAGAGAUGAUUGUAGCUUCUUAGAUGCACCCCUCCAUCAAGAUAAUUACCUCCCUCCAGCUAUGAGGCCAUUAUAUAUUGAAAUAAGUAGUGUUUAGAAUGUUUUCAUAUAUUUAACGAUAAGGAAGUUCACUCUGCUGCUGCUGGACUGUUUCUUACCAUACUUCGCAUUGUACCUGUUCUUCCAAAGAUUCCAACAAAUUAUAAUAGGAAGAGAGUGGAGAAUUAGUUUAUGGACAUCAUUCUUAGGCUUUAUGGACCACCACCAGAAAAGACUAUGCUUUAGACGGAUGUGUCUGUGUGUGUCCUAAGCCAGUAGAUAAUUUUUGUCCGAAUGUGAUUAGCCACGUGAACAGUAACAAAUAUAUGUUGGAUAUUCUCCCAGCGUUACUUGAUGAAACAAGAACACCUGGUAGGUUCCUUUCUAAAGGUACUGAUUUUUUCAUUUGUAGGAAGUUUCUCCCUAAGGUCCCUCCAAAGAAGAAAAGUUAUCUUGAAAGGAUAUGUUUAUGCCAAAUGAGUUCAUUGGACAUGGUUUUCACACCCAUCCUCCUACUGAUUUCCCAGGCUAUAGCACAAGAAAAGGAACCAUUAUCAGUUAACUUCCAGACUGCUUCAUCUGCAACCCCUUCCUGGUAAUAGAGCUUGGUAUUUAAUAUUUGAGGUAUCAUGAGUGUAGGGGCAUGUUGUCUCUUAAACUUUCAUUCCAUUGGCCAUUUUCAAUGAAAUGGGACAUUGAAAUAGUAACCUGCAAGAGCACCUACUCCAAGCCAAUUAUCCCACCAAAAAGAAUUAUUUUCCAUAAUAUAUGAGGCUCUAGUGUCUGUUUAUUAGUCGUCAUAUAUUUCCACACUAGAGAUUGACCACUAUCCCACUUCUUAGCGACCAGAUUUUCCCUGUGACAGUACUUAGCUCUAAGAAAUUUUCACCAAAGAGAAUUCUUAGUUCUAAAUAGCCAUCAUUGUUUGUCCCCAAAUUUUUCCAUUUGGAUUACAAUGAGCAUUAUCCAUACUCAAAUGGAGUCUGUAUUGUUUUAGGUGGGAGUUGUCUAUAAAAAAGGAUUCAAAACUGCUAUCACAAAUAAAUUGUGUAUUUGUUUGAGAGUUUGGAGUCUUUCAAAUGAUCAUUUGGUGGUAAUACUUCUAGCAUUCCCAUAAAUGGUGUUAAUCAUUAAAAAACUUUAUUUUUGGACCUAGUGUUGGGUUUGCUAGAUGUAGCAGAUGUACUGGUACCAUCCUGUUUCUUGCUUUGUUUUUGUUGUUUUCUAGGAGAUAGGCCCUGUUGAUUAGUGACUUCCCGAAUCUCUUUCUGAAUAUCUCUAUGUCGCAUGGAUCCAAAUGCUUUGAUCAGACGCUUAAAGUUUAUGGUGUAAUUGAAGCAGACACUUCGUACAUUGGUACUUCAGACAUCCACUAUUCGUCUGCGGGAAAUGAUGAGGUUUUUUUAGGCUUGAGAUUAGUUAUUUGAUGUAAUUGAAGACAUUGUAUUCUAUUGCAUUGUUGAGACCAUUUCGUGUGUUGGUCAGUUGUAUGUAUUUUUGAAAUAUUUGAUAUGUUGUUGCUAAUAAUUGUCAGCAUUUAUAUUAACAAGAGAUUUCCAAUUUA